UACGUAGGUGGCAAGCGUUGUCCGGAAUUAUUGGGCGUAAAGCGCGCGCAGGCGGUCUUUUAAGUCUGAUGUGAAAGCCCCCCGGCUCAACCGGGGAGGGGUCAUUGGAAAACUGGGAGACUUGAGUGCAGAAGAGAAGAGCGGAAUUCCACGUGUAGCGGUGAAAUGCGUAGAGAUGUGGAGGAACACCAGUGGCGAAGGCGGCUCUUUGGUCUGUAACUGACGCUGAGGCGCGAAAGCGUGGGGAGCAAACAGG
rnacentral:rRNA from 1 species